CGUAGGAGGCGAGCGUUAUCCGGAUUCACUGGGCGUAAAGCGCGUGCAGGCGGUUCGGUAAGUUGGGUAUGAAAUCUCCUGGCUUAACUAGGAGAGGUUAUCCAAUACUACCGGACUAGAGAGUGGUAGAGGAAGAUGGAAUUCCAGGUGUAGUGGUGAAAUGCGUAGAUAUCUGGAGGAACACCAGUGGCGAAAGCGAUCUUCUGGACCAUUUCUGACGCUCAGACGCGAAAGCUAGGGUAGUAAACGGGAUUAGAGACCCCGGUAAUCCUAGCCGUAAACGAUGUAAACUUGGUGUCGGUGGCUUUAACUCCUUCGGUACCGAAGCUAACGCGAUAAGUUUACCGCCUGGGGACUACGAUCGCAAGAUUA
rnacentral:rRNA from 1 species